AAAUUCACUCACAAGGCUUUGGUCGGCCCGAGGCUAUAGUAGAAGACACUUGCCCAAGGUGCCACACAGUGGGACUGAACCCGGAACCAUGUGAUCGGUAAGCAAGCUACUUACCACACAAACACUUCUGCGCCUACAACUUCGCUUAAACUAUUUAGUAUUUUUAGUAUUUGAUGUCAAAAAUAUUUUGUUGCACCAACUGCGACCCGGUCAUUGGCAUGAUUCCACUUCAUUUUGACUGUGUGUUUGUUUGUCUGAGUCAUUAUCAAACAUUUGUGUAUGCCUAACGAGUUAAUCUAACUGCAAACAUUCAAAUGAUCAAAUUGAUCAGAGAAAUAUGGACAGUGAACUCUAUGAAUUACGACAUUCAGUUUAUAGAUAUAUUAUUGCAGAAGCUUUUCAUAUGAAAAUGUUAUAAAACUAAAAACCUUAGUUGUAAAAUGUAUUUUAGUGUUACAAACAAUAACAGUUGAUCAACAGAAAAAACAUAGCAUUAUUGUAAUACAAUGGUGAGUUCAUAGAGCAGAGAAAUACAGUAUUUAGUAUUUAGUUUCAUUCUUCUAUAUUUUGAGUUCAAACACUACCAGUAUUAAUUUUGGUUUUUAUCUUCCUGGGGUUGCAAAAUUAUGUUCAAAUUUUAAAUUCAAAUCUUUGUUUCAAACCUUGUUAGUUCAGGAAUGAUAACAUUACAGUUCAAAUAGAUAAAUUUUUGCGUCUUUAAUUAAGUUGAAAGUUAGUCUUCGUUAUUUCAAAAAUCAAAACUACAGAGGCAGAACAUAUUCUUGUUAGCCUUUUAACUGUGAAAUUAAAUUUCAUGAUUAUUCUAGUAAAUGAUAUAAAAUAUCUGUGAAAGAAGAAUUGCCUUUGUAAACUAUCACAACAAAAAAUAGUUUCAAGCGUAACAUUCUUCAACAAAAGAUAGAUUGGUGAAUAAAACUACUUUCUGCAGUUAGGGAUAAUGAAAUUUUGAGUGGAUAUAUCUGAUUUCUGCAGUAAAAGGGUUAAAGUAAAAAUAGGAGACAUUGGAUCAUGUCUUGAAUUUAGUGUAACUAGUAAAAAAAAAAAAGUAAGACAGUCAUGGUUGGACUGUCUUUGAUCACAGGUUUGACAAAUUUCCUUAACCCAUUUACUGCAAAAUUAAAUUUCAGGGUUAUUCCAGUAAUGAUGUUAAAUAUCUACCAAAAAUCAGAAUUGUUAUUUUCUGCAAAUCCCAUUGCCUCAACAUACUUGGCAUAUUUCAAUGGAAAAUAGUUUCAAACAUGAUAUUCCUUAACAAAAGAUAGCUUGGUAUAUAAAUUUGCUUUCUGCAGUUAGGGAUAAUGAAAUUUUGAGUGGAGAUAUCUGACAUCUGCAGUGAAAGGGUUAAAAUACAAUGGCAAAGAGGUUAAUCUGAGAGUGUGGAAAAGAGAUGGAAUUUUAAUAAUUGAUUUUGAAUGUGAUAUUAUUUUGCCUUUAAUUUGUAAUUUGUUGUUAAUAAAUGUUUAUUCUGUUAAAACGGUAUCUGACUUUAAGAUGAAAACAAAUUGAACGUUAAGACAUAUUUUGAAAAACCAUAUUACAUUUAACAUUAAUAAAUCAAGUUAAAUCAUUCCUUACUCUGUGAUGGAAUCAACCAGAGUCAACUAUU
rnacentral:lncRNA from 1 species